AAGUCGUAACAAGGUUUCCGUAGGUGAACCUGCGGAAGGAUCAUUAUUGAAUAAACCUGAUGUGGCUGUUAGCUGGCUUUUCGAAGCAUGUGCUCGUCCAUCAUCUUUAUCUCCACCUGUGCACAUUUUGUAGUCUUGGAUACCUCUCGAGGCAACUCGGAUUUUAGGAUCGCUGUGCUGUACAAGUCGGCUUUCCUUUCAUUUCCAAGACUAUGUUUUUUAUAUACACCAAAGUAUGUUUAAAGAAUGUCAUCAAUGGGAUAUAAAAUUAUACAACUUUCAGCAAUGGAUCUCUUGGCUCUC
rnacentral:misc_RNA from 1 species